rnacentral:rRNA from 1 species
UACGUAGGGUGCGAGCGUUGUCCGGAUUUAUUGGGCGUAAAGAGCUUGUAGGCGGCCCGGUAGGUCCGCUGUGAAAGUCGGGGGCUCAACCCUCGAAUGCCGGUGGAUACUGUCGGGCUAGAGUGCGGAAGAGGCGAGUGGAAUUCCUGGUGUAGCGGUGAAAUGCGCAGAUAUCAGGAGGAACACCGAUUGCGAAGGCAGCUCGCUGGGACGGUACUGACGCUGAGACGCGAAAGCGUGGGGAGCAAACAGG